AGAGACAUCUGACAACCAUGAGAUAUACCUCUGUAAUGCCAAAUUGGGAGAAUUAUCAUUAUUAUUAGUUUUGCUAAUUCCCUUCCCUCCCCAUGUAACUGCAUUCAUCCGUAGUAACAUUUUUUUGUAGAGCAAGAUCACUUUUUAAAUACAUUUUUCAGCAGAAGGAUGCAUCUUUUUAAAAUGAUCAAGAGGUCAAGCAGGAUCACGUUCGCUUUGGCAACAAGGGCCGCCAUCUGGAGGAGGAUGAUUCGUCAACAAAUGAAAUUUGAUAAUAGUUGAUAAACCUCGACUUCGACCGGAGCCUGAGGCGUUACUGCUAAAGGCUUGGUGGUGUCAUGAUAAGGAAAGAAUUACCAUUUAUCUGGUGAGUCAAUAUUAUCUAUCCAUUAUCUACUUACUUCUUGUUCUCUACACUUUGACCGCAUUCGAGCAGUUUUCAAACGAAGUAGAUUGUAGGCCUCUAAUCCUGAAUUUCGAUCAUGAUAAGAACAAGGAAUCCGUGCUGUUUAUGAUAAUGCCAUCUCUUCUAGGAUUCAUCAAUGUUUCUAUUUUGGGAAUAUUUUGUGGUAUUCAUACUUUCUCGCUUCUCCUCUUACCUUACUUCAAUUCUAAAAAACCGAUCGAACUUUUCAGCAUCAGUUUUUUCACCACAAUUUUGCUUUCAAGUGGUCUUGGUCUGAGGAAGUUAUCAUGGCAUCCUAUGAGCAGAUCUACCCACCGAAAUUUUUCUAGUCUUCUAAACUUCUAAACUACUUGGUGCCAGUUACAUCUGAUCUCCCACCAUCUUGCCAAUGUCAAAGAUUGUGUUCUACCCAACUAAAGGCCUGUCGUUACGAAUCCAUUCUGGACAGAAUCUUCUCUCUCUCUGUCAUCUCUACCGUUGUUUCAUGUUACCUCAGCCAGUCACAAUCGACUACUUGUCAUAACUCCUAAAACUCUUGGCGAAGAAUAAUUACCAGAAAAAAGUGUGGUGUUUUGUUACUACUUUCAGUUACCAAACUUUCAUAUGUUUUUGCGCUCGCAAACUUUGAAAUAUGGCCAUACAAUCUCUUUAGGAUAAAUUCAGUCUGAAUAUUAGUGCCAUUUCAUAUUUGUGCUUUUCGGUUAAACCAAAAGUUAACUUUCUUACCCUCAAAAUUGGCUGAAAUAUUUUUUCACACUAUAAUAUUCUAUUCUUUGUAAAUUUAGAUUAAUUGCAUCUAAUUCUUCUUGUAGUGUUAAGUCAUUCAACGUAGUUAGUCAAUGAGUUAAGCGUUAUUAACAACGCUAUCAAUCCUUCUAGUUUGAAGCUAGUGUAAAACCAAAGUUUUUCUUUAGUCUAAAGUGUCUAAUUUAGUCAAAAUGAAUUUUGAAAAUUCAAGUCACUUUUGGAAGUAGUAAUUCUACUUGUUCUGUUUUUUUAUUAUUCAUUGUGCGUUGUGCAUCCUGAGUUU
rnacentral:lncRNA from 1 species